CAGCGAAAUGCGAUACGUAGUGUGAAUUGCAGAAUUCCGCGAAUCAUCGAGUCUUUGAACGCAACUUGCGCCCGAGGCUCGUCCGAGGGCAUUCCCGUCAGAGCGUCAACGCG
rnacentral:rRNA from 1 species